GGUCGGAAUAAAACUUUUUAUUUCGAGAUAUUUUGUUUCUAGGGUGGGAAACU
rnacentral:ncRNA from 2 species